CCUACGGGAGGCAGCAGUGAGGAAUAUUGGUCAAUGGGCGGAAGCCUGAACCAGCCAAGUAGCGUGCAGGAUGACGGCUCUCCGGGUUGUAAACUGCUUUUAUACGGGAAUAACGCGCCUUAUGUGUAGGGAUUUGCAGGUACCGUAUGAAUAAGGACCGGCUAAUUCCGUGCCAGCAGCCGCGGUAAUACGGAAGGUCCGGGCGUUUUCCGGAUUUAUUGGGUUUAAGGGGAGCGUAGGCCGCAUGUCAAGCGUGAUGUGAAAUGUCCGGGCUUAACCCGGGCCUUGGAGCGCGAACUGGCGUGCUUGAGUCCGCGGAAGGCAGGCGGAAUUCGUCGUGUAGCGGUGAAAUGCUUAGAUAUGACGAGGAACCCCGAUUGCGAAGGCAGCUUGCUGCAGCGGAACUGACGCUGAUGCUCGAAAGCGCGGGUAUCGAACAGGAUUAGAUACCCCUGUAGUC
rnacentral:rRNA from 1 species